GACGAACGCUGGCGGCGCGCCUAACACAUGCAAGUCGAACGGAGCUGAGAGAAGCUUGCUUUUCUUAGCUUAGUGGCGAACGGGUGAGUAACGCGUGAGUAACCUGCCCUGGAGUGGGGGACAACAAGUGGAAACGACUGCUAAUACCGCAUAAGCCCACGAUCCGGCAUCGGAUUGGGGGAAAAGGAUUUAUUCGCUUCAGGAUGGAGUCGCGUCCAAUUAGCUAGUGGGUGGGGUAACGGCCCACCAAGGCGGGGAUUGGUAGCCGGAGGGAGAGGGGGAACGGUCAGAUUGGGACUGGGCCCAGGCCCAGACUGCUAGCGGAGGCAGCAGUGGGGGAUAUAGGACAAUGGGGGAAACGCUGAUGCAGCGCGGCCGGGGGGAGGAAGAAGGUUUUCGGAUCGUAAACUCCUGUCGUUAGGGACGAUAAUGACGGUACCUAACAAGAAAGCGCCGGCUAACUACGU
rnacentral:rRNA from 1 species